rnacentral:rRNA from 1 species
AGCGGCGGACGGGUGAGUAACGCGUGGGUAACCUGCCUCAUACAGGGGGAUAACAGUUGGAAACGGCUGCUAAUACCGCAUAAGCGCACAGUACCGCAUGGUACGGUGUGAAAAACUCCGGUGGUAUGAGAUGGACCCGCGUCUGAUUAGCUAGUUGGUGGGGUAACGGCCUACCAAGGUGACGAUCAGUAGCCGACCUGAGAGGGUGACCGGCCACAUUGGGACUGAGACACGGCCCAA